rnacentral:rRNA from 1 species
GACGAACCGUGCGAGCGUUGUUCGGAAUCACUGGGCUUAAAGGGCGCGUAGGCGGUUCAUCAAGUCUGGGGUGAAAUCUUUCGGCUUAACCGGAAAAGUGCCUGGGAUACUGAUGAACUGGAGGGAGAUAGGGGCAGCUGGAACUUCCGGUGGAGCGGUGAAAUGCGUUGAUAUCGGAAGGAACUCCGGUGGCGAAAGCGAGCUGCUGGAUCUCUUCUGACGCUGAGGCGCGAAAGCCAGGGGAGCAAACGGG